GUUACGAGCAGGACCACCAGUGGACGAUAGAAGAUACUUAAAGCUAUGACUAUUGUUUAAACAUAUAUGUACUAAUAUAAGCAUCACAUAUACUUCUUAACAUACUUUAAAUAUUCAAUAUUUUCGAUAUGAUAUUUUUUUCGAUGACAAUUUCUCACUCCGAAGUCAGCACUGCACAGGAACAAUAAAAAAAAUAUCAAUUAUUCCUUUUUUACACAUGCGCAACGUUCAGAAAGUCAUAUAAACAACUUUCAAUAAAAGUAAUUACAUAGAAGAGAAAGUGCCAUUCUCAAGGUGGAUUUCGAAGAGGACGGAGCUCUCAACAUAUAUUCCGAGCUUUUUAACAAUAAAAGACACAUCUAUCGAUUAUUAAACAAUUUUUUUAAUGCUUGGAUACACUCUCUUUAUAUUUCAUAUUGUUCCAACAUAUAUGUACUAGUAUAAGCAUUACAUACUUAUUAACAUUCUUUAAAUAUUAAACGAUUUCGAUAUGAUACUCUUUUCGUUGAAAAUUUCCCCCUCCAAAGUCAGCACUGCACAGAAACGUUAAACCAAAUUUACAUUUAUUUAAACAAUUACAUGAAAAUUAAAAAAUAUAAAAUCAGAACGUUAUAAUCUUAAUUUCUAUUUAAUUCAAUUAAUAUUUUCGUUAUACUCACAUGCGCAACUUUCAAAAAGCCAUAUAAACAACUUUCGAUAUAAAAAGCUUUUUUCUGUGACAACGUCUCAGUCUAACAGAAGAUUUCNAAGAGGAAGGUACAUCAGCAGGGUCAUUACUAUUGGCAAGAUUCUAUUCAACUGUUUGCAGUUUGUGUUCCGAUAGUAGUUAAACUGUAUGAAUAAUAUUAUAUCUUA
rnacentral:lncRNA from 1 species